rnacentral:rRNA from 1 species
UGGGGAAUAUUGGACAAUGGGCGCAAGCCUGAUCCAGCCAUACCGCGUGGGUGAAGAAGGCCUUCGGGUUGUAAAGCCCUUUUGUUGGGAAAGAAAUCCAGCUGGUUAAUACCCGGUUGGGAUGACGGUACCCAAAGAAUAAGCACCGGCUAACUUCGUGCCAGCAGCCGCGGUAAUACGAAGGGUGCAAGCGUUACUCGGAAUUACUGGGCGUAAAGCGUGCGUAGGUGGUCGUUUAAGUCUGUUGUGAAGCCCUGGGCUCAACCUGGGAACUGCAGUGGAAACUGGACGACUAGAGUGUGGUAGAGGGUAGCGGAAUUCCUGGUGUAGCAGUGAAAUGCGUAGAGAUCAGGAGGAACAUCCAUGGCGAAGGCAGCUACCUGGACCAACACUGACACUGAGGCACGAAAGCGUGGGGAGCAAACAGGAUUAGAUACCCUGGUAGUCCACGCCCUAAACGAUGCGAACUGGAUGUUGGGUGCAAUUUGGCACGCAGUAUCGAAGCUAACGCGUUAAGUUCGCCGCCUGGGGAGUACGGUCGCAAGACUGAAACUCAAA